GAGCAGCUACACAUGCAGUCGAGCGGAUGACGGGAGCUUGCUCCUUGAUUCAGCGGCGGACGGGUGAGUAAUGCCUAGGAAUCUGCCUGGUAGUGGGGGACAACGUUUCGAAAGGAACGCUAAUACCGCAUACGUCCUACGGGAGAAAGCAGGGGACCUUCGGGCCUUGCGCUAUCAGAUGAGCCUAGGUCGGAUUAGCUAGUUGGUGGGGUAAUGGCUCACCAAGGCGACGAUCCGUAACUGGUCUGAGAGGAUGAUCAGUCACACUGGAACUGAGACACGGUCCAGACUCCUACGGGAGGCAGCAGUGGGGAAUAUUGGACAAUGGGCGAAAGCCUGAUCCAGCCAUGCCGCGUGUGUGAAGAAGGUCUUCGGAUUGUAAAGCACUUUAAGUUGGGAGGAAGGGCAGUAAGUUAAUACCUUGCUGUUUUGACGUUACCGACAGAAUAAGCACCGGCUAACUCUGUGCCAGCAGCCGCGGUAAUACAGAGGGUGCAAGCGUUAAUCGGAAUUACUGGGCGUAAAGCGCGCGUAGGUGGUUUGUUAAGUUGGAUGUGAAAGCCCCGGGCUCAACCUGGGAACUGCAUCCAAAACUGGCAAGCUAGAGUACGGUAGAGGGUGGUGGAAUUUCCUGUGUAGCGGUGAAAUGCGUAGAUAUAGGAAGGAACACCAGUGGCGAAGGCGACCACCUGGACUGAUACUGACACUGAGGUGCGAAAGCGUGGGGAGCAAACAGGAUUAGAUACCCUGGUAGUCCACGCCGUAAACGAUGUCAACUAGCCGUUGGAAUCCUUGAGAUUUUAGUGGCGCAGCUAACGCAUUAAGUUGACCGCCUGGGGAGUACGGCCGCAAGGUUAAACUCAG
rnacentral:rRNA from 1 species